UACGGAGGGUGCAAGCGUUAAUCGGAAUUACUGGGCGUAAAGCGCGCGUAGGUGGAUACAUAAGUCAGAUGUGAAAGCCCUGGGCUUAACCUAGGAAUUGCAUUUGAAACUGUGUGUCUAGAGUAUAGUAGAGGAAAGCGGAAUUUCCGGUGUAGCGGUGAAAUGCGUAGAUAUUAUGAAGAAUACCAGUGGCGAAGGCGGCCUCCUGGAUCUGUACUGACACUGAGGUGCGAAAGCGUGGGUAGCGAACAGG
rnacentral:rRNA from 1 species